rnacentral:rRNA from 1 species
AUUGAACGCUGGCGGCAUGCCUUACACAUGCAAGUCGAACGGCAGCACGGGAGCAAUCCUGGUGGCGAGUGGCGAACGGGUGAGUAAUAUAUCGGAACGUGCCCAGUCGUGGGGGAUAACGUAGCGAAAGCUACGCUAAUACCGCAUACGAUCUAUGGAUGAAAGCGGGGGAUCGCAAGACCGCGCGCGAUUGGAGCGGCCGAUAUCAGAUUAGGUAGUUGGUGAGGUAAAGGCUCACCAAGCCGACGAUCUGUAGCUGGUCUGAGAGGACGACCAGCCACACUGGAACUGAGGCACGGUCCAGACUCCGACGGGAGGCAGCAGUGGGGAAUUUUGGACAAUGGGCGCAAGCCUGAUCCAGCAAUGCCGCGUGCAGGAUGAAGGCCUUCGGGUUGUAAACUGCUUUUGUACGGAACGAAACGGUGAGCUCUAAUACAGUUUGCUAAUGACGGUACCGUAAGAAUAAGCGCCGGCUAACUACGUGCCAGCAGCCGCUGUAA